UACGAGGGGUGCAAGCGUUGCUCGGAAUUAUUGGGCGUAAAGGGUAGGUAGGUGGUCUCAUUUGUCUGGGGUGAAAGCCUUGAGCUUAACUCAAGAAGUGCCCCGGAAACGGUGAGACUGGAGUCCUGGAGAGGGUCGUGGAAUUCCCGGUGUAGCGGUGAAAUGCGUAGAGAUCGGGAAGAACACCAGUGGCGAAGGCGGCCGGCUGGGGGUGUCCUGACGCUGAGGCGCGAGAGCGUGGGGAGCAAACCGG
rnacentral:rRNA from 1 species